CAGGGAGACAACAAAAUGUUUAAUAUUAUUAUUUUGUCACCUUAGGUCGAUCGGUAUCUCACGUUUUUAAUUUAUUAAGAAUUUCAUUUCCUAAGUUUUUCUAGGUCACACCCAUUAUAUUUCCUGGGCCAUUAGCUCAGGUGGUUAGAGCGCACCCCUGAUAAGGGUGAGGUCCCUGGUUCAAGUCCAGGAUGGCCCAUAUCUCUAUGUUGGGGGUAUAGCUCAGUUGGUAGAGCGCCUGCUUUGCAAGCAGGAUGUCAGCGGUUCGAGUCCGCUUACCUCCACUGAUUACCACCUCUCCCAUAAUUAUGUAGAAAGGAAAUGUUUUGAGUGUGAUCAAAUUCUGAACGAAUCUAGCUUCCUAAUGUAAUCAUUAAGAUGCUGGACUCAUUGAAUUAUUUUCAUUGUUUUCAGAGAACCUUGACAACUGCAUAGAUUAUUUUUUUAAAGACAAUAAGCAUCUUUAAUGAUGCAGAUUUAUUAUUUGUGCGAAUGCAUUAAUAACAAUUCUAUUAAGCUGAUGCUUCAAUUUUGAAGUUAUU
rnacentral:tRNA from 1 species